rnacentral:rRNA from 1 species
CCAGACUCCUACGGGAGGCAGCAGUGGGGAAUAUUGCACAAUGGGGGAAACCCUGAUGCAGCGACGCCGCGUGAGUGAAGAAGUAUUUCGGUAUGUAAAGCUCUAUCAGCAGGGAAGAAAUAGCGACCUUUGGGUCGCCAGACGGUACCUGACUAAGAAGCCCCGGCUAACUACGUGCCAGCAGCCGCGGUAAUACGUAGGGGGCAAGCGUUAUCCGGAUUUACUGGGUGUAAAGGGAGCGUAGACGGCAGCACAAGUCUGAAGUGAAAUGCCGGGGCUUAACCCCGGAACUGCUUUGGAAACUGCGUCGCUGGAGUACGGGAGGGGCAGGCGGAAUUCCUGGUGUAGCGGUGAAAUGCGUAGAUAUCAGGAGGAACACCGGCGGCGAAGGCGGCUUACUGGACUGUAACUGACGUUGAGGCUCGAAAGCGUGGGGAGCAAACAGGAUUAGAUACCCGCGUA